rnacentral:rRNA from 1 species
GGUCAAGUGACAAAGCGCAUACGGUGGAUGCCUUGGCGGUCAGAGGCGAUGAAGGACGUGGCAGCCUGCGAUAAGUGUCGGGGAGUCGGCAGCAGACUUUGAUCCGGCAAUGUCCGAAUGGGGAAACCCACCGCGCAAGCGGUAUCCAGUACUGAAUUCAUAGGUGCUGGAAGCGAACCCGGAGAACUGAAAUAUCUCAGUACCCGGAGGAAAAGAAAUCAACCGAGAUUCCCCCAGUAGCGACGAGCGAACGGGGACCAGCCCAAAAGCAAGCAAUGUUCUAGUUGAACGCUCUGGAAAGUGCGGCCAUAGACGGUGACAGCCCGGUACGCGAAAGGGCACUGCUUGUGAAAUUGAGUAGGACGGGGCACGUGAAACCCUGUCUGAACAUGGGGGGACCAUCCUCCAAGGCUAAAUACUACUGACCGACCGAUAGCGAACCAGUACCGUGAGGGAAAGGCGAAAAGAACCCCGGAGAGGGGAGUGAAAUAGAACCUGAAACCGUAUGUGUACAAGCAGUGGAAGCCCGCAAGGGCGACUGCGUACCUUUUGUAUAAUGGGUCAGCGACUUAUUGUCUGUGGCAAGCUUAACCGUAUAGGGGAGGCGAAGGGAAACCGAGUCCGAACAGGGCGCAUAGUCGCAGGCAGUAGACCCGAAACCGAGUGAUCUAUCCAUGGCCAGGUUGAAGGUGCGGUAACACGCACUGGAGGACCGAACCCACGCCCGUUGAAAAGGUCGGGGAUGAGCUGUGGAUAGGAGUGAAAGGCUAAUCAAACUCGGAGAUAGCUGGUUCUCCUCGAAAGCUAUUUAGGUAGCGCCUCGUAUGUAUCUUCCUGGGGGUAGAGCACUGUUAUGGCUAGCGGGUCAUCGCGACUUAGCAAACCAUUGCAAACUCCGAAUACCAGGACAGACUGUACGGGAGACACACGGCGGGUGCUAACGUCCGUCGUGAAAAGGGAAACAACCCAGACCCGCAGCUAAGGUCCCAAAGUUCUAGCUAAGUGGAAAACGAUGUGGAAAGGCAUAGACAGCCAGGAGGUUGGCUUAGAAGCAGCCAUCCUUUAAAGAAAGCGUAAUAGCUCACUGGUCGAGUCGGUCUGCGCGGAAGAUUUAACGGGGCUAAGCUAGGCACCGAAGCUCGGGGUGCAAAGUUCUUCGGAAUUUUGCGCGGUAGAGGAGCGUUCCGUAAGCCUGCGAAGGUGUACUGAAAAGUAUGCUGGAGGUAUCGGAAGUGCGAAUGCUGACAUGAGUAACGAUAAUGCGGGUGAAAAGCCCGCACGCCGAAAGCCUAAGGUUUCCUUGCGCAACGUUAAUCGGCGCAGGGUGAGUCGGCCCCUAAGGCGAGGCAGAAAUGCGUAGUCGAUGGGAAGCCGGUUAAUAUUCCGGCACCUCGCUGCAGUGCGAUGGGGGGACGGAGAAGGUUAGGUUUACCGGGCGUUGGUUGUCCCGGGGAAAGGAGGUAGGCGUGGACUUUUGGCAAAUCCGGAGUCCUCUACGCCGAGCACCGAGACGAGUCCUCUUUUGGACGAAGUAACCGAUACCACGCUUCCAGGAAAAGCCCCUAAGCUUCAGCUGCAGAAGACCGUACCGUAAUCCGACACAGGUAGGCAGGGAGAGAAUCCCAAGGCGCUUGAGAGAACUCGGGUGAAGGAACUAGACAAAAUGGUACCGUAACUUCGGGAGAAGGUACGCCCCAUCGCGUGGUCACGUGCGUGACUGAGCGUGGUGGGGUCGCAGUGACCAGGCCGCUGCAACUGUUUAUCAAAAACACAGCACUCUGCAAACACGAAAGUGGACGUAUAGGGUGUGACGCCUGCCCGGUGCCGGAAGGUUAAUUGAUGGGGUCAGCCGCAAGGCGAAGCUCUUGAUCGAAGCCCCGGUAAACGGCGGCCGUAACUAUAA